rnacentral:rRNA from 1 species
UUGAACGCUGGCGGCAUGCUUUACACAUGCAAGUCGAACGGUAACAGGCCGCAAGGUGCUGACGAGUGGCGAACGGGUGAGUAAUGCAUCGGAACGUGCCCAGUCGUGGGGGAUAACGCAGCGAAAGCUGUGCUAAUACCGCAUACGAUCUAAGGAUGAAAGCGGGGGACCGAAAGGCCUCGCGCGAUUGGAGCGGCUGAUGUCGGAUUAGCUAGUUGGUGGGGUAAAGGCCUACCAAGGCGACGAUCCGUAGCCGGUCUGAGAGGAUGAUCAGCCACACUGGGACUGAGACACGGCCCAGACUCCUACGGGAGGCAGCAGUGGGGAAUUUUGGACAAUGGGGGCAACCCUGAUCCAGCCAUGCCGCGUGAGUGAAGAAGGCCUUCGGGUUGUAAAACUCUUUCGGCAGGAACGAAACGGUGAGCUCUAACAUAGCUUGCUAAUGACGGUACCUGAAGAAGAAGCACCGGCUAACUACGU